AACUCAAAUUUUGAACCGUAAAAAGUGACGCUGCGGUCCUUAGGACCCUUAUGAACACAGUGGAAAAGAGAAAAUCAUGAAAAAGAACUGUUAAGUCAGUCAAAUAAUUAGGUCAGGGAGCCGGAAGAAAUAUUGGAUUAUUUGCAAACCGGGAUGAACAGGCGAGGGGCAAUUUGGUCAAUUGACCCCGAGAGCUGACUCCUGACCUAACUGUCAAAUAAAAUCGGAGAAAAGAAAAUUUCGGAAUCGAGAAUUAAAUUAAAGAACUAAUAGAAAAAAAAAAAAAGAGAAAAAGAGAUGAAAAUGAAAAAGUCAAAAGUUAUGACAUCAUGCAUGAUGUCAUAACUAAAGUAAUAAAUUGAAUUAUUUAAUUUGGGAAUUAGGGGUCUUCCAUAAGCCAAAAAAAAAAAAAAACGUGUAAAGGAAACCAAAGGAAAAAAAUUAGGAUUUUCUUCUUCCUUGCCACCCCACUUUCCUCCCAAAUUCCUCCAUGAAUGGUCCUCCAUUUAAGCUUACAUUUAAGCUUAAUUUUCUUCACUUAAUCCAAAUAACUCUCUUAAAAACCACCCUAGAGCUUGUUAUUGCAACUUAAGAAGGAGAUUACAAGAAGAAAGAAGAAUUAAAGAUAGGGUUUUGAAGCUUUAACAAAAGUUGAAAAGAAUAUCGGGAAGGAACCCGAGGAACCGAGUCGAGGCUAAAGGACGACUCGUUUGAGAUACAGAGAUUAGAGGAGCAG